rnacentral:rRNA from 1 species
UACGUAGGGGGCAAGCGUUGUCCGGAAUCAUUGGGCGUAAAGAGCGCGUAGGCGGCCCUGUAAGUCCGCUGUGAAAGUCAAGGGCUCAACCCUUGAAUGCCGGUGGAUACUGCAGGGCUAGAGUCCGGAAGAGGCGAGUGGAAUUCCUGGUGUAGCGGUGAAAUGCGCAGAUAUCAGGAGGAACACCGAUGGCGAAGGCAGCUCGCUGGGACGGUACUGACGCUGAGGCACGAAAGCUAGGGGAGCAAACAGG